rnacentral:tRNA from 1 species
GCCGGUGUGACUCAGUUGUUAGAGUGUUGGCCUGCGCACCCAAGGGCUGCGGGUUCAAUUUCCAGUCAAGGGCA